GAUGAACGCUGGCGGCGUGCCUAAUACAUGCAAGUCGAGCGAACAGACGAGGAGCUUGCUCCUCUGACGUUAGCGGCGGACGGGUGAGUAACACGUGGAUAACCUACCUAUAAGACUGGGAUAACUUCGGGAAACCGGAGCUAAUACCGGAUAAUAUAUUGAACCGCAUGGUUCAAUAGUGAAAGACGGUUUUGCUGUCACUUAUAGAUGGAUCCGCGCCGCAUUAGCUAGUUGGUAAGGUAACGGCUUACCAAGGCAACGAUGCGUAGCCGACCUGAGAGGGUGAACGGCCACACUGGAACUGAGACACGGUACAGACUCCUACGGGAGGCAGCAGUAGGGAAUCGUCCGCAAUGGGCGAAAGCCUGACGGAGCAACGCCGCGUGAGUGAUGAAGGUCUUCGGAUCGUAAAACUCUGUUAUUAGGGAAGAACAAAUGUGUAAGUAACUAUGCACGUCUUGACGGUACCUAAUCAGAAAGCCACGGCUAACUACGUG
rnacentral:rRNA from 1 species